GAUGAACGCUGUCUACAGGCUUAACACAUGCAAGUCGAGGGGAAACGACGGGGAAGCUUGCUUCCCCGGGCGUCGACCGGCGCACGGGUGAGUAACGCGUAUCCAACCUGCCUCUGACUGAGGGAUAACCCGUCGAAAGUCGGCCUAAUACCUCAUGGCAUCGUCUGCGGGCAUCCAACGACGAUUAAAGAUUUCAUCGGUCAGGGAUGGGGAUGCGUCUGAUUAGCUUGUUGGCGGGGUAACGGCCCACCAAGGCUACGAUCAGUAGGGGUUCUGAGAGGAAGGUCCCCCACAUUGGAACUGAGACACGGUCCAAGCUCCUACGGGAGGCAGCAGUGAGGAAUAUUGGUCAAUGGGCGGGAGCCUGAACCAGCCAAGUAGCGUGCAGGAUGACGGCCCUAUGGGUUGUAAACUGCUUUUAUGCGGGGAUAAAGUGAGGGACGUGUCCUUCAUUGCAGGUACCGCAUGAAUAAGGACCGGCUAAUUCCGUG
rnacentral:rRNA from 1 species